AGCUUGCUGGGUGGAUUAGUGGCGAACGGGUGAGUAACACGUGAGUAACCUGCCCUUAACUCUGGGAUAAGCCUGGGAAACUGGGUCUAAUACCGGAUAGGAGCGUCCACCGCAUGGUGGGUGUUGGAAAGAUUUAUCGGUUUUGGAUGGACUCGCGGCCUAUCAGCUUGUUGGUGAGGUAAUGGCUCACCAAGGCGACGACGGGUAGCCGGCCUGAGAGGGUGACCGGCCACACUGGGACUGAGACACGGCCCAGACUCCUACGGGAGGCAGCAGUGGGGAAUAUUGCACAAUGGGCGCAAGCCUGAUGCAGCGACGCCGCGUGAGGGAUGACGGCCUUCGGGUUGUAAACCUCUUUCAGUAGGGAAGAAGCGAAAGUGACGGUACCUGCAGAAGAAGCACCGGCUAACUACGUGCCAGCAGCCGCGGUAAUACGUAGGGUGCGAGCGUUAUCCGGAAUUAUUGGGCGUAAAGAGCUCGUAGGCGGUUUGUCGCGUCUGUCGUGAAAGUCCGGGGCUUAACCCCGGAUCUGCGGUGGGUACGGGCAGACUAGAGUGCAGUAGGGGAGACUGGAAUUCCUGG
rnacentral:rRNA from 1 species